UACGUAGGGUGCGAGCGUUGUCCGGAAUUAUUGGGCGUAAAGAGCUCGUAGGCGGUCUGUCGCGUCGGAUGUGAAAGCCCGGGGCUUAACCCCGGGUCUGCAUUCGAUACGGGCAGACUAGAGUGUGGUAGGGGAGAUCGGAAUUCCUGGUGUAGCGGUGGAAUGCGCAGAUAUCAGGAGGAACACCGGUGGCGAAGGCGGGUCUCUGGGCAGUAACUGACGCUGAGGAGCGAAAGCGUGGGGAGCGAACAGG
rnacentral:rRNA from 1 species